CCGAACUCUAGCCCAACCACAUCACAACCAACAGCCAAAAACUAACUCCCAACCACAAACCAAAACAUUGUCUUAACUUAGUAUAGGCGAUAGAAAAGUUUUCCUCCUGGCGCGAUAGAGACCUCUUUGUACCGUAAGGGAAAGAUGAAAUAAUAGUGAAAAUCAAAGCGACCCACAGCAAAGAUAAACCCUUGUACCUUUUGCAUCAUGGUUUAGCAAGAACAACCUAGCAAAACGUAUUUAAGCUUGCCGCCCCGAAACCCAAGCGAGCUACCUACAGGCAGCUAAUCCCUGAGCAAACCCGUCUCUGUUGCAAAAGAGUGGGAUGACCUGUUGGUAGAGGUGAAAAGCCAACCGAGCUGGGUGAUAGCUGGUUGCCUGUGAAACGAAUCUAAGUUCCCCCUUGAUUUCUCUCCACGGACCUCCCACCCUAACCCCCACAUAGUAAAUCAAGAGCAAUUUAAAGGAGGUACAACUCCUUUAAAAAAGGACACAACCUCUCAUUGCGGAUAACCCCCUACCCGCCCUUCCAUGUAGGCCUUCAAGCAGCCACCAACAAAGAGUGCGUCAAAGCCUCUCCACCCAAAAAAUCUGAAAACAGCAUGACUCCCUCCUCACUAACAGGCCAACCUAUUACAAUAGGAGAACCAAUACUAGAAUGAGUAACUAGGGGUACCCCUCUCAAGCGCAAACUUACAUCCUCACAUUAUUAACAGCCCCAACUAAUGUACUACACCAACAAGCCAACACAUUAAACC
rnacentral:rRNA from 1 species